rnacentral:lncRNA from 1 species
UUUUUUUUUUUUUAAACCAUAGCUGCCCUGGAAGGUGUGGUAUGCUGCUACUGCUGGCUGUGUCACUGUAGUUGCGAUGGCUAGGGUUUUCUCUGUGUUACUGGCUAUCUUUUUUCCUUGCAAGACACCUGCUCAAGGUCUCUGCCUGUUUUUAAAUUGGACAGUUUGCCUUUUUUAAAUAUCCAUUUUUAUGUUUGUGGGUAUUUUGCCUGAAUGCAUGUGUGUGGGUCAUUAGCAUGUCUGGUGCCUAAGAAGGUCAGAAGAGGGUGGGUCCCCUGGAACUGGAGUUGCCUAAUGUUGCAAGCAGCCAUGCGGGUGCUGGAAACCCAGCCCAGGUCCUCUUCAAGAGUACGGUGCUGGUUGAGCCAUCUCUCCAGCCCCUCAUCUGUUGUUUUACAGUAAAUUCUAGACAUUCUUAGCUAACAUAGUGACUUUCCUGGGCUCACUCUGUGAAGUGUGUUCUGUCACAUGUAGCCAUUGAAAUCAGCUCCUUUUGGUUGUCAGUAGAUGGUCUGAUAGAUGUUUGAGCGUGCGUGUGUGUGUGUGUGUGUGUGUGUGUGU